CGAGUAGGCCCCAAGCAAGGAAGGAAGGAAGGAAGGAGGAAGCAGGCAGCAGACCCUCUGCCCAGACCAGACCAUCCAGAACAGCUAUUGCUAGUGCCAACACCAGUAAUUUCCUUCUUCAUCUAAUCCAAUUGGUGGCAUACAGAAGGUGUGAGCAGACUUCAGCCUUAUGGUAUCUACAUUUGUUUUUUAUUAGAACUGCAUCAAGCCAGAUGUAAAAUUGUGAAUUGGGGGUGGAGCCAAUGGCCCAUGGUAUACCAGGAGCUAUGCACUGAAAUGAUCUGCAUAUGCAAGCACAAAUUGACAUGGAUUUGGUCACAAAAUUCUAAAAGUGGCCAGCACAGCUUCACGAAGUCAAAGGCAACCAUUUAAUAUUCCUAUUGUACAGGUGAGUACGCACCUUAAGUGGCACAGCAGGGAAAUGCUUGACUAACAAGCAGAAAGUUGCCGGUUCAAAUCCCCACUGGUACUAUAUCAGGCAGCAGCGAUAUAGGAAUAUGCUGAAAUGCACCAUCUCAUCCUGUGUGUGAGGAGGCCAUGGUAAACCUCUCCUGUAUUCUACCAAAGACAACCACAGGACUCUGUGGGCUCCAGGAGUCAAAAUCAACUCAGCACACUUUACCUUUACAAGUGAAGAAAGGGGAGGCUGGGAGAUAAAUGAUUAGCGGAAGAGGGCAGAGUUGGGGAUUUUUUUUAUUAUUAUUGUUUCAGCACUCUUAAGAAUAAGGUCCCUUUUUACAGCUGGCAAAUACUGAGAUUUCCCCCAAAGCUUUCUUUUUCAGCACCCUAAUUUAGCAGGGGGAGGGGACCUUCUGUUUGUUUGUUUUCUUUUUAUGUUCUUCCAAGCAGAAUCACGGACUGAGCUGGAGUUUCAGCUGAAGCAGGAUUCUGAGUGGAGGCAAGGGUCUCAGAAGGGAUUCAGGCUCAGAUUACUCUAAGGAAGAGCAAGCAUCAGGCAAAGGAGAUCAGGACCUUGGAAAGCUCUGAGCAGGAGAGGCUGAACUGAACACCAAAGACAUAGUUCCUGCAAAGAACUGGAAGCUACUGAAGAGUUAUGUAGGUUGCUGGCUAAUUAUAUUUAGCAGGGGGAGAGCAACUGGCCCUAUCCAACACCAGCACAGCUUCCCUCCAGUAGCAGUUGCUGGGGUCUACCGUGUGUUUCUUUUUAGAUUGUGAGCCCUCUGGGGACAGAGGACCAUCUUAUUUAUGUAUUAUUUAUUUUUCUAUGUAAACCACUUUGAGAAUUUUGUUGAAGAGCAGUAUAUAAAUAUUUGUCAUCGUUGUCA